UCUGAAGACGCCUGCCCAGUGCACAAACCCUAUAAACAGCCUUGUGAUUUCUAACACUUGAAAAUCACGAAACGUCUCAAUAUUAAACCUGUCAUCGGUAGUUUCUUUUAUUUAUGAAAUGCUUAAUCACAAAGAGUAUUAUGUACAAAUAGUCUUAUUAAUUAAUUGGUGGAUGGUACUUCUAGUAUACUUAUAUAUAUUGUGACUGAUAAAUAUUUAAGGUAAGUGUGGCAAACAAUCGCGACAAUUUGAUUAGAGAUCACAAUAAGCAGAAGGAUCAUGGACGGUGUCCGGUAAGAGUAUCGUGACGAUAUGCGUAUCCUGAAAAUCGAGGCACGUCAAAGUGACUGGGCGCCAGACAUUUGGUAGAUGUCGCAACACCGCUUGGAAAUCCUCCGCGAUACCCUGGCUACUCAGCCCACGGGAAGGUUAGAGGGGCUGGUCCUGCUAAUACACACACGCGAGAAGGUUUCGCACACGCAGAAUAAAUAGCUCGAAAUUUGGUAACAAUAACAAAAUAAUUAAGUAAUAGAUUAAACAAUGGGCGGUCACGCGAACGGGACCUUGGCGGCAGAAGGCCUGAAUAAUUAUAAAUUAUAUCUAAAAAUUCACGGCCAAAUAUUGGCGACUCGCUCGCGCGCGGGAGAACAGUAGGAGAAUUAGUAAAUGACGAUGAACAUCGUUCCGGACAAAUAAUCCGUAGACUAUAACAAGUAUAAAGUAACAAAAGUUUACUCGGACGACCAACGGGCCUUAACGGAACGCACAAACGCAACAAAAAUAGAAUGUAAACAGAGAUAAGUAAGGAAAGAUUACACAAGAAUCAAACAAUACAAUACGCAGUCUACAGGGAAGCGGUAGGCAGCGGAUUCGGCCGUAUGGGACACUCCAGGGUAUUCAGUCUAUCCGAUGAAAAUGAAAUAGGCAAGGUAGUCUAAUUAGGCCCGCGAUAAUUACACUUAAGCCCUUACUCAUACCUCUCUCUUAUAAUCGCUAUUAAGCGUCUUUUAGUUAAAGACGAUUAGACCGCUGUUAAGAGACGCCGUACUCAUACCUUCUUUUAAGACCACUAUUAGUUAAGAGCGCGCUAUUAGAAAAAUGGAACUGGCAACGUUGCAUAGACACGGCGGCCGUCCCACGCGCAUGCGCGUUGCGCGGGCAAGCCUAAAAUUUCAAACGACGCUCAUGUUGCCGCUAUACAAAAAAAUAGCUUCUGUGAAAGGUAGUAACUGAUUGAUCGUAUAUGGUUCCGAUUUGAAUUGUAGACCAAUGAGGUUCCUUCUUACAAUGAGUUUCCUCGUUUUAUACGUAAGCGUAAUUGAACGCUAUUACCUAGCUGAUCAAAGAGCUGUUCAAACGUAAGUACAGAUAUCUCAUUUAAAUAUGAUACAAUUAUUUAUGUAAUCGAUGAUAAAUAUUGAUGGAGGAUUAUCAUAUGCACAAAUGCUUUAUAUGUCAGCUGAAAGAUCAAAAAGGAGAGAAAACUUCAGCGAAGAAGAGAAACAGCGGAUUCUUGAAUUCGUUCAAGAAAACGUGAGCAUCUUGGAGGACAAGCAUAGUCAUCCACGAAGCCAAGACGAGAAGAAACGGAAGUAGAAAGAGUUGGCAGAGAAUAUGAAAGCUACUGGACCCAUCCGUGACUGGAAGGAUUUACAAAAAGAAAUAUUUUGGCCUACAAGAAACAGCUGAAAUCUACUGGUGGAGGACCAUCUACCACGAAGCCGUCGGAAACAGAUUUUCUGUUAUCAGAAAUUUGUCCUGCGAACUUCGUGGCAGAUGAAAUCCAUUCGACAGUGAUGGCGUACGCGAUAAGGACCAGGAUACAGAUGUCACUGUUGUAAAAGACAACGAGGAAGGCGACAUCUCUAAAUAUAUCCUGGAUCCUGCAACUGGAGAACUUCUUUUGGAAAGCAAGGAACCGCAGCAGAGUGUCAGCAACAUCCUACGACUCGGGCCCUCGGAAAGUGCCGUCAUCUCUGAACCACCUCCAAGGAAGAGGAAAAAAGAGAUGACGGCGUAUGAGGAGAACUGCUGCGGCUACAAGAAAAGAAGCUCCAGGACGCCAUCACAUUUCAAAGAGAGGAGCAUGAGGCGAAAAUGAAGUUAAUUGCCUCUGAACAUAAAUACAAGGAGGAAUAAUACGCAUUAAGUUUGGAAGCGGUAAAAAAAUCUAAUGAAGAGUCUUCAUUGCAGAGUGAGCUUUUGCGAUUGCAAUUGCAAAAACUGGAGAAUUCUUCAUAAGGAUUCAGGUUUUUGUCUUUGUCGUCGGAAAAGUGCAAUUAUCUAGUAAAUUGUCUUGAUUAGAUCUGCUUACUUAUUUAACGUAAUGUUUUGACUAAAUUCAUAUUCGGCAAUUUUGGUUGACUUUAUUUGAACUUUCAUGUACUUCUCUUUGAAAUUAUUACUGUCGAACCUCCAUCAGUUAGUUUUAGCUAUCUGUAGGCCAAAUAUUUUUUGUCCUUUCCACCGUUGAUAUUGCAUAAAUCUUUCCAGUCACGUGUAAAUCCAGUAGCUGUCAAGUUCUCACGCAACUCUUUCCACUUUCUUACCAUUUCAAUUCGUCUUGGCUUUGUGAAAUACUUACCUUGUUCUCCAAGAUGUUCAUAUUGUGCGAAUUCAAGAAUCCGUUGUUAAUUUGCUGAAGU